rnacentral:rRNA from 1 species
AGCUGGUUAUACCCGAAGUCGUUACUCUAACCAUCUGGAGGAGGGCGCUUAAGGUAGAAUUAGUGACUAGGGUGAAGUCGUAACAAGGUAGCCCUACUGGAAGGUGGGGCUGGAUCACCUCCUU